GUCUAUGGCCAUACCACCUUGACCAUCAAAUCUGAUCUUGUCUGAUCUUAGAAGCUAAGCAGGGUCAGGCAUGGUUAACACUUGGAUGAGAGAAUUGUUAUUCAGGGAACUUUGACUGUAUGCC
rnacentral:rRNA from 14 species